CCUACGGGUGGCAGCAGUGAGGAAUAUUGGUCAAUGGGCGGGAGCCUGAACCAGCCAAGCCGCGUGAGGGAAGAAGGUCCAGCGUAUCGUAAACCUCUUUUGUCAGGGAACAAAGGCGGGGACUAGUCCCCGGAUGAGGGUACCUGAAGAAAAAGCAUCGGCUAACUCCGUGCCAGCAGCCGCGGUAAUACGGAGGAUGCGAGCGUUAUCCGGAUUUAUUGGGUUUAAGGGGUGGGAAGGCGGCUUGUUAAGUCAGCGGUAAAAUCCCGGGGCUCAACCUCGGAGAGCCGUUGAAACUGGCGGGCUGGAGUUGGAGAGAGGUACGCGGAAUGCGCGGUGUAGCGGUGAAAUGCUUAGAUAUCGCGAAGAACCCCGAUUGCGAAGGCAGCGUACCGGCUCCAAACUGACGCUGAGGCACGAAAGCGUGGGUAUCGAACAGGAUUAGAUACCCUUGUAGUC
rnacentral:rRNA from 1 species